CUCCCCCACUCUUCCCGGGGUCCCACCUGGAAGGUGGGCGCUUCCCCCAGCGCCCGGCACAGCCCGGACCCUGGUGUAAAGUCGGGCAUCUGCGCAGUAAACAUCUGGCCUCGGAGCUGUCCUCCACGCCUUGGCUGCCCCAGCCAGGGGAAGGAUAUGCGGAGGGCUCUAGGUCAAAGCGGGCGUUUUUGCGGGUGUAGACACUGCGGCGCCUGGGCCUGCAGGAGGGGCAGAUUUUCAGAUGGCCGAGACAGGUGAAGGCAGAGAGGAGUGGCUGUCCACCUGGGGAAGAACAUACCUCGGGCCAUCAGGAAGCUUUCAGAGCCAACUGUGGAGGGCGACUCAGGUGUAGGCUCUGGACACAGCCAGUUUCACGUGACGGCUGGGAUGCCCAGGGGCAAGAUCCCGGCCAGGCCUUCUGCGUGUUUUAAUGACUUACACUGGGGUGCAGUGGCAUUGGCAGUGGUCACUCUGCUUACCUGCCCUCCGUCUGGCUAGGCCACUUUCUUCCAGAGAAAAGGGGCUCUGUGCACAUCAAUGGGACCUUGGUUCCCAGCAAACAGAGGGCCUAGUCUUGUUAGAAUAGCUUAAUAAAACUUACAGCACCUGGAAAAAACUGAAA